AGACCCGAAACCCGGUGAUCUAGCCAUGGGCAGGUUGAAGGUUGGGUAACACUAACUGGAGGACCGAACCGACUAAUGUUGAAAAAUUAGCGGAUGACCUGUGGCUGGGGGUGAAAGGCCAAUCAAACCGGGAGAUAGCUGGUUCUCCCCGAAAGCUAUUUAGGUAGCGCCUCGUGAAUUCAUCUCCGGGGGUAGAGCACUGUUUCGGCUAGGGGGCCAUCCCGGCUUACCAACCCGAUGCAAACUGCGAAUACCGGAGAAUGUUAUCACGGGAGACACACGGCGGGUGCUAACGUCCGUCGUGAAGAGGGAAACAACCCAGACCGCCAGCUAAGGUCCCAAAGUCAUGGUUAAGUGGGAAACGAUGUGGGAAGGCCCAGACAGCCAGGAUGUUGGCUUAGAAGCAGCCAUCAUUUAAAGAAAGCGUAAUAGCUCACUGGUCGAGUCGGCCUGCGCGGAAGAUGUAACGGGGCUAAACCAUGCACCGAAGCUGCGGCAGCGAACGUAUCACCCAAGACAACUUUACGGAGUUGACGAUUGACGGAGCGAAGCGACGUCAAAGCGUUCAUUAAAGUCGAGUUGGCUUAGGGAUACGUUCGUUGGGUAGGGGAGCGUUCUGUAAGCCUGUGAAGGUGUGUCGUGAGGCAUGCUGGAGGUAUCAGAAGUGCGAAUGCUGACAUAAGUAACGAUAAAGCGGGUGAAAAGCCCGCUCGCCGGAAGACCAAGGGUUCCUGUCCAACGUUAAUCGGGGCAGGGUGAGUCGACCCCUAAGGCGAGGCCGAAAGGCGUAGUCGAUGGGAAACGGGUUAAUAUUCCCGUACUUGGUGUUACUGCGAAGGGGGGACGGAGAAGGCUAUGUUGGCCGGGCGACGGUUGUCCCGGUUUAAGCGUGUAGGUGUGUGUUCCAGGUAAAUCCGGUUCACUUUAACACUGAGGCGUGACGACGAGGCACUACGGUGCUGAAGCAACAAAUGCCCUGCUUCCAGGAAAAGCCUCUAAGCAUCAGGUAACAUCAAAUCGUACCCCAAACCGACACAGGUGGUCAGGUAGAGAAUACCAAGGCGCUUGAGAGAACUCGGGUGAAGGAACUAGGCAAAAUGGUGCCGUAACUUCGGGAGAAGGCACGCUGACACGUAGGUGAAGUGAUUUACUCAUGGAGCUGAAGUCAGUCGAAGAUACCAGCUGGCUGCAACUGUUUAUUAAAAACACAGCACUGUGCAAACACGAAAGUGGACGUAUACGGUGUGACGCCUGCCCGGUGCCGGAAGGUUAAUUGAUGGGGUCAGCGCAAGCGAAGCUCCUGAUCGAAGCCCCGGUAAACGGCGGCCGUAACUAUAACGGUCCUAAGGUAGCGAAAUUCCUUGUCGGGUAAGUUCCGACCUGCACGAAUGGCGUAAUGAUGGCCAGGCUGUCUCCACCCGAGACUCAGUGAAAUUGAACUCGCUGUGAAGAUGCAGUGUACCCGCGGCAAGACGGAAAGACCCCGUGAACCUUUACUAUAGCUUGACACUGAACAUUGAGCCUUGAUGUGUAGGAUAGGUGGGAGGCUUUGAAGUGUGGACGCCAGUCUGCAUGGAGCCGACCUUGAAAUACCACCCUUUAAUGUUUGAUGUUCUAACGUGGACCCGUAAUCCGGGUUGCGGACAGUGUCUGGUGGGUAGUUUGACUGGGGCGGUCUCCUCCUAAAGAGUAACGGAGGAGCACGAAGGUUGGCUAAUCCUGGUCGGACAUCAGGAGGUUAGUGCAAUGGCAUAAGCCAGCUUGACUGCGAGCGUGACGGCGCGAGCAGGUGCGAAAGCAGGUCAUAGUGAUCCGGUGGUUCUGAAUGGAAGGGCCAUCGCUCAACGGAUAAAAGGUACUCCGGGGAUAACAGGCUGAUACCGCCCAAGAGUUCAUAUCGACGGCGGUGUUUGGCACCUCGAUGUCGGCUCAUCACAUCCUGGGGCUGAAGUAGGUCCCAAGGGUAUGGCUGUUCGCCAUUUAAAGUGGUACGCGAGCUGGGUUUAGAACGUCGUGAGACAGUUCGGUCCCUAUCUGCCGUGGGCGCUGGAGAACUGAGGGGGGCUGCUCCUAGUACGAGAGGACCGGAGUGGACGCAUCACUGGUGUUCGGGUUGUCAUGCCAAUGGCACUGCCCGGUAGCUAAAUGCGGAAGAGAUAAGUGCUGAAAGCAUCUAAGCACGAAACUUGCCCCGAGAUGAGUUCUCCCUGAGACUUAGAGUCUCCUGAAGGAACGUUGAAGACG
rnacentral:rRNA from 2 species